AGAGAAUGGAAUAGAGGGAGAUCGACGGGAGAGAGAGGGAGAGAGAGGACUCGAUAGUUGGUGGGUCUGUGCAAAGGAGGCCGGAGGUGCGAUUUCUAGUGGAACCUAGGUUCCGAUCAAUUGUGGAGGACCUGUAGCAGACCCAGGCCGAACUAGAACCAAUUUCCGGUGGGUUUUCUGUGGCUUCGACGGAAGGACGAUUUUUGAUGAUGAGUUAGGAGACUGCAUCAGAGGGAAGUAAGUAUUUCUAAAACACUUACUUGUAUCUUUUUAUAAUGCCAUGAUUAUGGAUUUGUUUACUUGGUUGUGCAUGUGAUUUUAUAUAUUUUCUAUUUUUAAUUAAACUGCUUAAUAAUGAGCUGGUAGACAUAGGGGGUUAUAGGCCAGUGGUGGGACCAUCAGAUCCCGGUUGAACCUAAUAAAUAACCUGACGUUGGGACCUUUGGCUUCAGGUAACAAACCAAUAAACGUUAAGUGAGGGGACAGUAAUCCCGGGCUAACACGAUAUACCAGACCUAUGGCUUCACGAAUGAGUGAUGUGCAAAAGAUGAUUAAUUAAGACACUGCAUUAAAACUGUCAUGUUACUGAUUUAGGGUUAUUUGAUAUUCAAUCUAUGACUAUGACUUGCAACCAUAGGCCAUAAAUUGCGUAUACUUGUGACCUUGAGGUUAUAUAUUCAUUGUGUUGUAUUUCAUAAAUAAGUGCAUAUUCAUUAUAUUAUUAGAAGCAGUAGACUAACCCAUAUAUUUAUAUAUGGGUGGUAGUCCAUUAUGCAUGUACAAAAGGUUAUUAAAUUAAAGGAUUGGAUUUUGUUAGCAUUGAAGAGUUAAAGCUGAUAUUAAUGUAGCUGAUGAUUUCCUUGUAAUGUUUGUAUUCUUUUGGAAAAUAGUAUACUUAGAGGAAUACUUGUAUUUGAUAUAUUUUCCAUGUAUGUUUUUAGUGUCAUCAGUGACAAAUAUUUCAAUGUAUAGUAUAACGAUUUCAGAAUGAAUGUCUAGUAGUAUUUCAGUCAA